GAACAGGGAUACACAAUGGAGAUCUACUCAUCAACUGCAUGUGUAGUGACAAUCUUGUACAUUUUUGCUACAGCCUCUGCGCAAGGUAUUUGCCAUCAUGACAGAGGGAGCCAGUGAGUGACCUCACACAGAGCGCUAACGCUGAGCCUCUGAGCACCGUUUCAUAAGAGAUUUUUUAUUUAUUUAUUACAUAUAUAUUUUAUCAUAGAACACUUAAAUGUAAAUUAAAAGAAUGAUUUGGUAAGAGUAAAAUGGGAGUAAUCUGUCUUGUUUAUAAUGUCAGCAGCAAUGCAGGUUUCAGUGGACAGAUGGAAGGCAGCCAUCAUCUGCACUGUUGUGGAAAUGUAUCUUACAAGAUCUCAGAAAGUUCCUGCUGUAAUGGAAAUGUAACUCUGGGAUUAAGCCAGCUGGUGGCUGACUGUUGUGAUUCUGUAGCUUACAAUCCCCUUAACGAGAUUUGCUGUGAUGGAAGGAUUCGGACUCGAAGCAGCACUCACAUGAAAUGCUGUGGCAAAGUCAUGUACCGGACAACGACUCAUUUGUGUUGUGGUGGCGGCAACAUAUUUCAAUGGAAGGAAAAUCAUUCUUGUUGUGGCAAAGAAACGUAUGACAUGACAACCCACUGCUGCUGUACUAACCUUACACUAGAAGUAAAGCCGAAAAAUGAAACUUGCUGUCCAAAAGCAAAAGACACUGAUGAAAGAACAGAAUGCCAGCAAGGCUCUCUUCCCACCCGAAAACUCUCCAAAAACUCAGAAUCGAAGUGUGGAUCAACACCCUACAAUCCCCAGAAACAAAUUUGUUGCUCAGUGAAUAUUCAUGAGAAGGCUUCAGCACUUACUAAGUGCUGUGGCAAAGAUGUUUACACUCUGUCAGAUGACAAUGUGCUGUGCUGUAAUGGAAUCCUUCAUCUCAAUGUGCCUGAGCAGUCAGAGUGUGUUGGAGGUGUUAUAUAUACUCCAUCAAACACUAUUUGCCAAAUGUCUGCUCGUCCCCGUCUUGGUAGGCACUGCUGUGGAAGACAAACCUUCAAUCCUCACACACAUAUUUGCUGUAACGGAUGCAGGUAGGCCUACAGAUUACAAAAAUUUGAUAUGAUUUAAAAGCAACUUUUAUGCCAGAUUUAC
rnacentral:lncRNA from 1 species